UUCCGCGGUUCCGGCGUCAACGGAGGGGCGUGGGCACUGUGUGCUUAUGCCUAACAGAUCUGGGGCUCUCUGUCGUUGGUUCUUCCCGUAAGCUUCCUCGAUUCCGGGGUCUCAUCCAGCCCUGUGCGGUUAAUGAGAGGACGGACUUGCCAACAUGGCCUUUGCUUCCAGGGCUCUAACCUGACUGGCCCGAUUAGAUAGAUGACCGUCACCCAGCUGUGUUGACCGGGUUCAGUCUGGAGCCUCAGCUAGCCUCCAGAAAAACUCUUCUGAGGUCAGCCACACCCAGAGCAUUGCAUUAUCAGAGCAACCUUGGCUGAGGCCACUCUUGACU
rnacentral:lncRNA from 1 species